rnacentral:rRNA from 1 species
UACAGAGGGUGCGAGCGUUAUCCGGAAUGAUUGGGCGUAAAGCGUCUGUAGGUGGCUCUUUAAGUCCGCCGUCAAAUCCCAGGGCUCAACUCUGGACAGGCGGUGGAAACUACCAAGCUGGAGUACGGUAGGGGCAGAGGGAAUUUCCGGUGGAGCGGUGAAAUGCGCAGAUAUCAGGAGGAACACCGGUGGCGAAGGCGGGUCUCUGGGCCGAUACUGACGCUGAGGAGCGAAAGCGUGGGGAGCGAACAGG